GGAACCUAUAGUGCAAUAUGCAGGGACCAUGAUGGCAAAUACUUGGGCUCAUCAGCCAUCAAAGUCCCGGGUAUCACGGACCCGGGGACUCUCGAGGCGUUAGCUUGUCGCGAGGCGCUUGCUCUAGCCCUGGAUCUUGGGCUGCCAAAUGUACUUGUUGCUUCAGAUUGCAAAGUUGUGGUGAACGACAUCAAGCUAGGCACGGGAGGUAUGUAUGAAAGCAUAGUGAAGGAAAUAAGAAAUACGUCCGAACAAUUUCAGCAAUGCACCUUCAUCAUCGAAGGUCACGGUACUAAUCUUGAGGCGCAUAGCCUUGCUAAGCACACCUUUGGUCUGGACUUAGGGCGUCAUUUGUGGCUUAUAAACCCUCCAGACUUGAAUUGUAUCCCUAUGAACAUUUUAGAGUAA
rnacentral:rRNA from 1 species